rnacentral:rRNA from 1 species
GGGUGAGUAACGCGUGAGUAACCUGCCUUACACAAGGGGAUAGCCUUUGGAAACGAAGAAUAAUACCCUAUAAAACUAUAAAAGCACAUGCUAGAAUGGUCAAAGUGCUAGCGGUGUAAGAUGGACUUGCGUCUGAUUAGCUAGUUGGUGAGAUAAAAGCUCACCAAGGCAACGAUCAGUAGCCGGCUUGAGAGAGUGUACGGCCACAUUGGGACUGAGACACGGCCCAG